rnacentral:rRNA from 1 species
UACGAAGGGGGCUAGCGUUGCUCGGAAUCACUGGGCGUAAAGCGCACGUAGGCGGAUUGCUAAGUCAGGGGUGAAAUCCUGGAGCUCAACUCCAGAACUGCCUUUGAUACUGGCGAUCUUGAGUCCGGGAGAGGUGAGUGGAACUGCGAGUGUAGAGGUGAAAUUCGUAGAUAUUCGCAAGAACACCAGUGGCGAAGGCGGCUCACUGGCCCGGCACUGACGCUGAGGUGCGAAAGCGUGGGGAGCAAACAGG